UACGUAGGCAGCAAGCGUUGUUCGGAGUUACUGGGCGUAAAGGGUGCGUAGGCGGCCCUGUAAGUCUGGUGUGAAAUCUCCCGGCUUAACUGGGAGGGUGCGCUAUAGACUGCGGGGCUCGAGUGUGGGAGAGGAGAGUGGAAUUCCUGGUGUAGCGGUGAAAUGCGUAGAUAUCAGGAGGAACACCGGUGGUGUAAACGGCUUUCUGGACCAUAACUGACGCUGAGGCACGAAAGCGUGGGUAGCAAACAGG
rnacentral:rRNA from 1 species